CUACGGGGUGCAGCAGUGAGGAAUAUUGCACAAUGGGGGGAACCCUGAUGCAGCAACGCCGCGUGGAGGAUGACGCAUUUCGGUGUGUAAACUCCUUUUAUAUGUCAAGAAAAUGACGGUAGCAUAUGAAUAAGCGCCGGCUAACUCCGUGCCAGCAGCCGCGGUAAUACGGAGGGCGCAAGCGUUACUCGGAAUCACUGGGCGUAAAGGAGCAGUAGGCGGGUUGAAAAGUCAGGUGUGAAAGCCUACAGCUUAACUGUAGAACUGCACUUGAAACUCUCAAUCUAGAGUAUGGGAGGGGCAGAUGGAAUUAGUGGUGUAGGGGUAAAAUCCGUAGAUAUCACUAGGAAUACCUAAAGCGAAGGCGAUCUGCUGGAACAUUACUGACGCUAAGGCGUGAAAGCGUGGGGAGCAAACAGGAUUAGAUACCCCAGUAGUC
rnacentral:rRNA from 1 species